CGUCGAAUCUGUAGUUUAUAUUUCUAAUGGUGUAAACGAAUUACAUAAAAAUUACCCGGUCAAGCAAUUGUUGGGGAUUGAUAGUUUUUGUAAAACACGAAUGCUAAAAAGAAAAACAGAUAUAGUUACAAAAAUAUUCUUUUAAGAAAAUUCCAUAAUGACAAAAGACGAAACAUUGGAGAAAAAAUCAGUAGAAAAUAAUGAUACUGAUAAAAAGACUGCAUCUGACUCUGGUCCUGAUCCAUCAGCACCAAUAACUAGAAGAGGAGUGUUAACGUCAUUCUUGACUGGCAAGCCGAUGGAAAUACCAGAACAAGAUAUUUUGGGUAAAUGCAGAUUUGUGUCAGAAUUUGAAAAAUUAAAUCGUAUAGGAGAAGGUACCUAUGGUAUUGUUUAUAGAGCAAGAGAUACUAAAAAUGAUAAAGUUGUAGCUUUGAAAAAGGUCCGAAUGGAACAUGAGAAGGAUGGCCUCCCGGUCAGUGGUUUAAGAGAAAUAUCUGUUCUUUUGUCUUGUCGUCAUGAAAAUAUUGUACAUUUGAGGGAAGUGGUAGUAGGAAGAAGUUUAGAAAGCAUAUUUCUUGCCAUGGAAUAUUGCGAACAAGAUUUAGCAAGUUUAUUAGAUAAUAUGCAAGCACCAUUUUCAGAAAGUCAAGUCAAAUGUAUUGUAUUACAAGUAUUAAAGGGUUUACGUUAUUUGCAUCAUAAUUUUAUUGUACAUAGAGAUUUGAAAGUUUCAAAUCUUCUUAUGACGGAUAAAGGAUGCGUAAAAAUUGCUGAUUUUGGAUUGGCAAGAUGGUUUGGUUUGCCUUUAAAACCAAUGACACCAAGAGUAGUAACAUUAUGGUAUAGAGCACCAGAGUUGUUAUUACAGGCAAAAACUCAAACAACUUCUGUUGAUAUGUGGGCUGCAGGUUGCAUUUUAGGGGAACUUCUUGGACAUCGGCCUUUAUUGCCUGGACGAUCAGAAAUUGCGCAGUUAGAAUUAAUUGUUGACUUAUUAGGCACACCAAGUGAAGCAAUUUGGCCAGAGUUUAAUACACUUCCGGCAUUGCAAAAUUUUACAUUAAAACAGCAACCAUAUAAUAAUUUAAAACAAAGAUUUCCAUGGUUGAGUGCUGCUGGUUUGAGAUUAUUAAAUUUUUUAUUCAUGUAUGAUCCAAAAAAAAGAGCCACUGCAGAAGAAUGUUUACAAAGUAGCUAUUUUAAAGAAGCUCCUUUACCAUGCGAUCCCAAACUUAUGCCUACUUUUCCACAACAUAGAAAUAUGAAAAAAACUGCACCUCCAAAGGAGACUAGAGAACCAGAGACAAAUGUUACAGACCAAACUAAUAAUUUGCCUGCAAUUUCAGAUCUUCUUGGUUCACUUGUUAAGAAAAGGCGAGUAGAAUAAGCAAGAUUUUACUUAUUCUCAGAAUUUUUAUAUCUUUCAUUCUCAAUGUAUGAAUUCAUUCAUAAACUUUCAAAUAAAACAACUUUAUUAAUAAAUACGAGAAAAAUAGUUCAAAGAACAUGUUUUUGUUAAUGAAAAAAUUCGAUGUAAUCCAAACGAGAAAGUUCAAAGCAACUUACGUAAUAAAGAGAGGGAGAGCGAAAAUUGAAUUCUGUCGUAAUCGUUUCAGAUAUACGUAGAAACUUCGAAAAGAAAUCGGUGUAACUUUUGGUCAUAUUGAAUAAAAAAAUAAAAUUGCUUCCUCAGUUAUAAAAAUAAA